GUGCUUCGACUGAUGGCUCCUCCUCCCAUGCGAUCGUCGAAAUGGCCUGGCGACCUCCUCCUCCCAUUCGCCGGCCAACCCCAAUGACGCCCGCCGGUCCUCCUCCCCCGGCGGGCGUUAUGC
rnacentral:sRNA from 1 species